UUGUCUCAAAGAUUAAGCCAUGCAUGUCUCAGUACAAGCCAAAUUAAGGUGAAACCGCGAAAGGCUCAUUAAAUCAGUUAUGGUUCCUUAGAUCGUACCCACAUUUACUUGGAUAACUGUGGUAAUUCUAGAGCUAAUACAUGCAAACAGAGCUCCGACCGGAGACGGAAGGAGCGCUUUUAUUAGAUCAAAACCAAUCGGUGGCGGUUUCCGUCAUCGUACAACUUGGUGACUCUGAAUAACUUUACGCUGAUCGCACGGUCUCGCACCGGCGACGCAUCUUUCAAAUGUCUGCCUUAUCAACUGUCGAUGGUAGGUUCUGCGCCUACCAUGGUUGUAACGGGUAACGGGGAAUCAGGGUUCGAUUCCGGAGAGGGAGCCUGAGAAACGGCUACCACAUCCAAGGAAGGCAGCAGGCGCGCAAAUUACCCACUCCCGGCACGGGGAGGUAGUGACGAAAAAUAACGAUACGGGACUCAUCCGAGGCCCCGUAAUCGGAAUGAGUACACUCUAAACCCUUUAACGAGGAUCAAUUGGAGGG
rnacentral:rRNA from 2 species